UACGGGGGGGGCAAGCGUUGUUCGGAAUUACUGGGCGUAAAGGGCGCGUAGGCGGCCUGCUAAGUCGAACGUGAAAUCCCUGGGCUCAACCCAGGAACUGCGUCCGAUACUGGAAGGCUUGAAUCCGGGAGAGGGAUGCGGAAUUCCAGGUGUAGCGGUGAAAUGCGUAGAUAUCUGGAGGAACACCGGUGGCGAAGGCGGCAUCCUGGACCGGUAUUGACGCUGAGGCGCGAAAGCCAGGGGAGCAAACGGG
rnacentral:rRNA from 1 species